AGAAAAUAUGACCACAUCACCCUUGUUUUAAUCAGUCUACACUGCCUCACAAUUUUAUCUCGAACUGAUUAUAAAAUACUACUACUGACAUAUAAAGCACUUAACGCUCUCAUGCCGCAGUAUCUGAGCGAACUUCUUUACCAUUACAAUCCCAAACGCCUACUUAGAUAAAAUGUUGCAGAAAAAAUGUGCAUUUGUUGUUACCUAUAAUAAUGAAGACUACAGAAGGGGGCAGAUCUUUCUCUUAUAAAGCCUUACAGUUAUAGAACAGCCUUCCAGUUAUUGAUCGGGACACAGACAUGGUCUUAAAAACAUAUUUAUUUACUUUUAUCAGUAGGUUUUUCUUAGGUGAAGGAGCAGAUCUGGAGGUAUAUGGAUAUGUGUUCGUUGAACUGGGAUAUUUGUAUGCUGUCGCCCCCUUAAUGUCACGCAUUCACUCAGGUUUGCUGAUAGUUUGCUGGUUUGCUGGUAGUGUGGUGGGCCGGCUCUUAUCCCAGAGAUCCCUCAUGUCUGUGUUAUCUUCUCCCUUUUAGUUAUGCUGCCAGAGCGAGUCUUGCCGGAGUCCCCAACUGCACAUUGUUCUUAACUUUUAUACAUCAUGGUUAAUAAUCAAUAUCUUUCUCUUCCGGUCACCCCUCUUCUCUUUCUCUCUCAGUCGAGUUAAACAUGCUCCUGAAGUACCAGUGAAUACUGUUCCUGCCCCCUCCCCUCCUUGGAUCUGCCCGCUUCAUCCUGGCCUGCCACUGUAGGGUGUUCUCUUCGAUGGGCGACCACUCUGUGCAGCUGGGAACCUAACAAGUCUUGAUUGGAGGGGAGCUGUAAGGAGAUAUCUGUUGCCUGUGUUUAAUCAGAGACAGUCAGAUGAGAUUGGAUUCAUUGUUCUGAUGGAGAGCACUGUUAUGAAGAUGGACAGUCACUUUGCUUUCUAAGUGAAACUAUCAUUUAGCCUCAAUUCGCAAAAGAAAAGGCCCAUUUGUUAUCAACCACAGAGUGCAGAAGAGUGGGCUGUAGAAAGGCUGGGUAGGAAUGGCAAUGCCACACAAUUAUACCACUCAGGAAUAGGCACAGAAGAAAAACAGCAUGAAAUAAAAUAAAGGGCUAUGCAUGUAGGUGUGCAAUGCUGUUGUGCUGAUUUACCACAAAUUAUAUAUGUCCAGAUCUAAGAACUUUAUAAUGAAGUUGAGAACAGUGAAGCUACAUUGACCUAAUAUAGCUUCAAUUUAACUGUUUUACUAUAGAACACACAAUAUAACAUAGAACGUAAAAUCUGUUAACUAAUAAAAAGUCCCUCCACAAUACCUGGUGUCAACAACAAAGUGGUGUUUCUGUUCUUUUUUUUUUUUCUUUUGCUGACAUGUCCUUUUGAUAAACUCAAUUUGAAUGUACUGCAGUGUUACAGUGCUCUCUAUAUUCUUCACAAAUAAGCAGUAAGUUAAUAUAAGCAUACAUUUUCUCUAUACUGUUAUUCUUUAAUGGCAUCUGAAAUUUGUUUCCAAUACUUCAUGUUUUCUUUUUAAAGUCCUAAAUUCUUGUGUGUGUUGCUCACUAAUGCUCCCUGACAUACUAGCAGUAAAGUUAUCUGAUUGACAUUUCACAGUGUAUUUGCCUUCCCAUGACCAUAUUUACUCAAGUACACAAAGCAUGUACUUGAGUAAAAGUAGAGAUACAGUAGGUAAAAUAUUACUCCAGUAAAAGUGCUCCCUUUAAACUUUUACUUGAGUAAAAGAACAAAAGUAUUUGCCUUCAAAUGUACUUAGUAUCCAAGUACUAUGUUUUAUUAUAGCUAUAAUGCCUUAGUGUCAUUUUGACUCUCUUCUUAAUCAACUCAGUUUAUGUAAAAAAAAAUAUUGUAAUGUUACUCUUAGAAUGCCAAUCUAUUAUUAUAAUUCUAUUAAUACUUUAAACACUGUUUGAUAUCUAAUAAAUGAUCAUGAGCUCAAAACCUACUUUUCACCGACUUAUAAAAACCAUGCAAAUAAGGCCACAGUUUCUUCCAUGAUUUAUUCCCCUGAAAAUAUUCUGCUUGCUGUUGAACUGACACUGACCUGUAUGUUUAUGCUAAAUAAAUACCACCAACUGGCAAUGGCGGUUUUAGCUUGAAAGAUGCCUGGGUGGACCACGUCACCCCCCAUUGAUUAGUUUCAGCUUUGAAACACUCCUCUCUGCUUCAGCUACUGUCACUGUAUGAGUUAGACAUAUUCUCAGAGCAGUCCACAAAUUUGGAUAUAUUUCUGAGAGCUUUAUUUCAUUUAUAAAUAAUCACCCUAAAUGUAUUUAUAGGAUGAUUAAAUACAUGUCAUUGUGCACAAUUUAUCAAACGCUCAGAACUAAGAACCAUACAACUCCUUGGCUAUUUGUAGCCAUAAGAUACAUACAAUAUCUAUAACCUUAUAAUAUAUGUCUUUUAAAUUAAGUACAAUCACAGAAAAUCUUUAUGACCACCUCAAUUAAAGGUAACCAAAUCAAUAAGCGCAUAUUUACCUAAAUAUAACUAUACUAGUUGGGCUGUAAUUGUUUUGUUGCAAGCUACACACAUUAUGAUAAAAACAUAUUAUAAAUUACAAAUGUUAUGCAAACUAAAAGAAAUAUUGUUGCUCUAUGCACAAAAGCAUAGCAGGCAACACAGCAUAACCUGUGAUAUAGUAAAACGCUAUAUAUAUAAAAAAGAUAUUUGACUUUGAAAUGUAGGGAAGUAAAAGUCUUCCCGAAUGGAAAUACUUGAGUAAAGUACAGAUACACGAAAAACUAUUUAAGUGCAUUUACUUACGUUUGUCAGGGAACCACCAGGCACGCCUCCCUCCUGCACUCAGCACAUUUGCUCAGCCUCGCCUUCCUACUAAUCACCUACAUUUGUCUCCAAUCUACACUCCCCUUUAUAUGGGCGCCUUUCCCACUCGCUCACCGUCCGGUCUACAGUUUGCACUAGAGAUCAUUCAUGGACUUCCCAUGCUACGAAUUCUACCUGUUUUCUGGCUUGUGCUUCUGCUGAAGUUCCUGUCUUGUGUACUAAAGCAAAUAAAGCUUAUUGACUUU